rnacentral:lncRNA from 1 species
AAAUCCUACAUGUCUGCUCCCGGAGCUGCCACAACCCAUCUUCCCACAACUCGGAACUUGGAAAAAGGAACCCAGGACACGACUUUGCUUUUCUUUUGGACCUAGUUGGUGAUUAUACUCUGUCUCCCAUGGAGACCACGUCUUGCAUCCUUCCUUCUAUAUGGGAUUUAGGAUAGAAAUUAAAAAGAAAACAUAUUAUUUUGAGUCUUGAUUUGGAGAAAGGUAGUAUUCAGGAGGAAGUAGGCUAUGAUACACAUAGAAAAUUUGAGGACAGUGUUACUUAACAAGGACAUUUCUGUCUCUGCAGAAGUCACAGCUUGGAGGAAACCAGUUUGCACUGUUUGAGGAGGAAUUUGGCCACCAAACCACUGAUACUUUCCCAAAGAUACAAGUUAACAGGAUAUGCUUCUGGCCUGUUUCUGGAUUCUAAGGGUAGAACCAGCAUAAAACUAGUCAGUCCAAGUAUUUCUAAAGAUCCACAGACACAGUUCUCCUGGAUUUGGGAAGCCUAGAGAUAUUAGCACAAUAAUUAAGGCCCAAGGUAAAAGCAACAGCAACCUGAAAAUGCAAAAGACCAUACAUUUUAAUGCAACUUUUAAAAGCCUUUCCACUGCACAGUGAAAGAAAACCACAAACUCCUUGUUUAAUAAGUGGGAUCAUGUGCUUUUAACAAGAGGAAAAGGUCAAUCUGAAGCAACUGAUAUGGAACUGCCAGAGUAGGAGUUGAAAAUCUUCCUAAACUGCUGGAGGAUACACCUCUGAUAGCUUGAGACAAAUAUCCUCUUGAUCAUUGUUUCACCAUAUUUGUCUUUGCUCAUGGAGAACCAUUUUGAUCCGUGGUUUAGCCUCCCAGGUGAUUGAACAAUACUGGUGAUCUGAGGCAGACCCUCUGUGACAGAUAACAG